UACGGAGGAUGCAAGCGUUAUCCGGAAUGAUUGGGCGUAAAGCGUCCGCAGGUGGCUAUGUAAGUCUGCUGUUAAAGAGUGAGGCUCAACCUCAUAAGAGCAGUGGAAACUACAUGGCUAGAGUGCGUUCGGGGCAGAGGGAAUUCCUGGUGUAGCGGUGAAAUGCGUAGAUAUCAGGAAGAACACCGGUGGCGAAAGCGCUCUGCUAGGCCGCAACUGACACUGAGGGACGAAAGCUAGGGGAGCGAAAAGG
rnacentral:rRNA from 1 species